CCCUUAGAUGUUCUGGGCUGCACGCGCGCUACACUGAUGCACUCAACGAGUUUACGACCUUGCCCGAUAGGGUUGGGUAAUCUUUUUAAAAUGCAUCGUGAUGGGGAUAGAUUAUUGCAAUUAUUAAUCUUCAACGAGGAAUUCCUAGUAAGCGCGAGUCAUCAGCUCGUGCUGAUUACGUCCCUGCCCUUUGUACACACCGCCCGUCGCUCCUACCGAUUGAGUGUUCAGGUGAAUAAUUCGGACUGCAGCAAUGUUUGGAUCCCGAACGUUGCAGCGGAAAGUUUAGUGAACCUUAUCACUUAGAGGAAGGAGAAGUCUUAACA
rnacentral:rRNA from 1 species